rnacentral:tRNA from 1 species
GUAAGGAUGGCUGAGGUUUAGGCGGUGGGUUGUAGCCCCAUAUAUAGAGGUUCGAACCCUCUUCUUUACA